CACGUAGGUGGCAUCGUAAGUCAAAGGUGAAAGCCCUCGGCUCAACCGAGGAAUUGCCUUUGAAACUGCCUUGCUUGAGUCCGGGAGGGGGGAGCGGAAUUCCCAGUGUAGCGGUGAAAUGCGUAGAUACUGGGAGGAACACCGGUGGCGAAGGCGGCUCCCUGGACCGGUACUGACACUGAGGUGCGAAAGCGUGGGUAGCAAACA
rnacentral:rRNA from 1 species